rnacentral:rRNA from 1 species
UACAGAGGGUGCAAGCGUUAAUCGGAAUUACUGGGCGUAAAGCGUGCGCAGACGGUUGCGUAAGUCAGAUGUGAAAGCCCCGGGCUCAACCUGGGAAUUGCAUUUGAGACUGCGUAGCUAGGGUGCGGAAGAGGGAAGCGGAAUUUCCGGUGUAGCGGUGAAAUGCGUAGAUAAUCGGAAGGAACACCAGUGGCGAAAGCGGCUUCCUGGUCCAGCACCGACGUUCAGGCACGAAAGCGUGGGGAGCAAACAGG